UAAAGAAAUGUCCCUCUACGACACAGUAAGGAUCAGGCCUGGAAUUUGAAUUAAGGUCAACAUUUUGCUAAAAUAUGUCCUAACAAGGAGUGGUGGAAAAUGAUAUCUGAGAACAAAGUCUCAAGACUCACCUGCUGUGAAUUUUAGGAUGUAGUUCUCAGCUACUUCUCUAGCAUCUGCCUGCUUGCUUCCAUGCUUCCCACCAUGAUGAUAAUGGACUCACCUCUGAAAAUCCAGAGGAGAUUUCAGCAAUGGAGUCAGAUGGCAUUCAAAUCAGAAAAGCCCCAUCCUCUGUACACAACCUGAAAAGCAAAGGUGGUGGAUGAGAAACAUAUAAAUGUGACCAGAUACCCACACAAGAUUCCCCCUCCUGUGAUGCACCUGUGGUCAAUUAUUGAGGUUAUGAGCACUAAGAAGCUGCAGACCCUGCCUUGCUAAUUACUGCACAUCCAUUGUCUGAAACAAAGUCCUGUAUGUUGUAGCCAUUGAGAAACUGUCAAGUGAGUAAGUAAAGAUGGC